GACGUAGGGGGCCAGCGUUGUUCGGAUUCAUUGGGCGUAAAGGGUGCGUAGGUGGCGCGCUAAGUCAGGUGUGAAAUUUCGGAGCUUAACUCCGAAACUGCAUUUGAUACUGGCGUGCUUGAGGACUGGAGAGGAGACUGGAAUUCGAUGGUGUAGCAGUGAAAUGCGUAGAGAUCAUGAGGAAGACCAGUGGCGAAGGCGGGUCUCUGGACAGUUCCUGACACUGAGGCACGAAGGCCCAGGGGAGCAAACGGG
rnacentral:rRNA from 1 species